UCCUACGGGAGGCAGCAGUGAGGAAUAUUGGUCAAUGGUCGGGAGACUGAACCAGCCAAGCCGCGUGAGGGAUGAAGGUACAGAGUAUCGUAAACCUCUUUUGUCAGGGAACAAAGGCGGGGACGCGUCCCCGGAUGAGUGUACCUGAAGAAAAAGCACCGGCUAACUCCGUGCCAGCAGCCGCGGUAAUACGGAGGAUGCGAGCGUUAUCCGGAUUUAUUGGGUUUAAAGGGUGCGCAGGCGGUCUGUUAAGUCAGCGGUCAAAGCCCGGGGCUCAACCCCGGCCCGCCGUUGAAACUGGCAGU
rnacentral:rRNA from 1 species